rnacentral:lncRNA from 1 species
GGGCCGGGGGAUCCGGUACCCCAAGGCACACCUCUCGGAUCGCUAGAGAAGGCUUUCUCACCGAGGGUGGGUCACGCUCCCCACCCGCCAGUCGCCCCUCGUCGGGCCCGCAGAGGCACUCAGGGACGCCUGGGGAAGGGAGGGGGCCUGCGGCGCGAGAAGAAACCUGCGGCAACCUUGAGCGUUUGCGGUCAGGGCAGGGGCCCGGCCGGCGCGCGUGCGCACAGCCCCCAAGGCCCCCCGCCGUCCACCCACCUCCUUUCUGUGAGGCAAGGCGCCUCCAGUUAACCCACACACGACCGAUCGGAGGCAGAACGGCAGCCCCUCGGCGGCCGGCCGGCGCACGCGUGGCCGGCCCGAGCCCACCGCAACCGCUCACACGGCCCGCGCUCACCCGCCAGAGGGGAGCACGGGACGUGCGCUCGCCAGACCAGGCGGCGCCCUUCCCCGCGUGGGAGGGGCGCGUCUCACUCAACCGCCUCGACCCGCACAGCCAACGCGCUCCCUCAGGACCCACGCGCGGACACCACGGCGGCGACCGGAGGAGGGGCGCUGGGGCGGGAGCGACACACCACCGCUCGGCCUCGGGCACCUGAGAGACAGCCCGGGGCGCUCCAGGAGCACCGCAAAGGCCCAGGCGGAGCCAGCGCUCGUGCAAUACCCGAGAGGGCAGCACGGCGGGCCAGCGGGACAGCACCCCCACCGCCGCGGAGGGGGGCGGCCCACGAGGCGACGACCACAAGAGGCGAAAGCGAGGGGUGCCUGCUGCGUCAGAGGACCCCCGCCGACCCACGCCGGACGCCACGAGGCAGGCGGCGGGGUCGGGACAGCGAGGUCGGGCCGGGUUCCGCACCCCAGUGCCUCCCAACGCACCGCCCACAGGCGGGGAUGGGAGACGGGGGAAACCCCGCGGGCGGGACGAGAAGAACGGGUCUCAUUCACCACGAAUGCCCGCCCCUCGCCCGUCGCGGCUCGGUCCCGGCCCGGGAGAGCGUGACAUCACCACAUCGAUCAGGGAAAGCAUCCCCGGAGCAGGGUCGGCCGGCCAGCCACAGCCUCCCCAGAGGCCAGCGAGCAGAUCAGCCUGGCCAUCCCCAGCUCCAGGACAGGGGCGGCAGACAACCCGGCAGAGACGAGGAAUGCCUGACACGCACGGCACGGAGCCAGCGGGAGUGGGGUUGUCACGGCCGCCCCAGGUGCCCGCAGCGGGGAGCGCACGGUGGCACGGUAAGCCCGCGCCACCUUCCCCGCCGCCCCCAGGUGGGUCAGAGACCCGGACCCAAGGCGGCACCGGGAGCUGGGACGCUCGGAUGCAUGAGAGACCGGGCACACGGGCCCCAGCAGGCGGCUCAAGCACGAGCAGGGCCGGCUAGCCGGGUCACCGGGAGGCCGAAGACCCGUGACGCAUCCAAGAGACCCAACCUCUCCAGCGACAGGUCGCCAGAGGACAGCGUGUCAGC